rnacentral:rRNA from 1 species
UACGGAGGAUCCAAGCGUUAUCCGGAUUUAUUGGGUUUAAAGGGUGCGUAGGCGGCUUUUUAAGUCAGGGGUGAAAGACGGUGGCUCAACCAUCGCAGUGCCUUUGAUACUGAAGAGCUUGAUUAAACUUGAGGUAGGCGGAAUGUGACAAGUAGCGGUGAAAUGCAUAGAUAUGUCACAGAACACCGAUUGCGAAGGCAGCUUACUAUGGUGUGAUUGACGCUGAGGCACGAAAGCGUGGGGAUCAAACAGG